rnacentral:lncRNA from 1 species
AAAAAACAAUGUAAUAUUUUAAAACACUGCACAUUUUACAGUGCAGGGGAUGGUAACUUGCUCUUAUAGCCCACAAAAUGUUAGCUAGGCAAACAUCCAUUUUAACAGAACAGAGCCCUGGUGGGCAAGACUUCACACUGAUGGUAAGCUGGGAUUGGGGGACACGCCCAUUAGAGAGUUCAGUCACACUCCUCAACAACUUGGAAUAAACUUUCAAAUACUACACCACCAAAGAGUUCCCCUCAACUCAACCUGUCGUUUGAAUUGGAAAAUAAACUCACACAAUUUAACUGUUUCUCACAUUUUUGAUUAACUCCAGAUUUUUGAAAUUUGCUGUUUAUAUAUAUAUAUAUAUAUAUAUAUAUAUAUAUAUAUAUAUAUAUAUAUAUAUAUAAUGAAAAAAAUUAAAAGAAUACCAAAUGAUAAAAUACCAGUCAAUUAUACAACACAGGUAAAUGAAAAAGAAAGAAGGUGGAACAAGUUGGAAAUAAGGAACAAGGACACUCCCUUUUGACUCACUUUGUGGUGUGGUGGUUUCGGUGGCAGAGUUACAAGUUUUGUGAUAUGGGCCAGAUGUUGAGGAUAUUCAGUAUGCCUACUGAGAUCAGCAACCAUGAUCACGCUUUUUACAAGCGUGAACAUGAACGUCUUCUUAAAGACGCUGCUGCAGUCCCAGCAGAAAAUAUAAGACCGGAUUUUGAAGGUAGGAACAGCUUUAUAAAAGCUGGUGGUCGCUAUAGACAGUACCAGUUUAUAAACACAUGUGUUCUUGACUCAUUCCUUUUUGGCCUUCACAUUUGUCACAACAAAAAUGCAAAAUUUAGAGAACUUUUUCAAACAGAUCGUACACUAAAAGCAGUCAUGAUAUUUUUAGAUGCAAAAAAGUAUAAUGAGGUCAGAUAUCUUUGGUUGAUUUUCUUAAAUUUGGAUCCAAAUUGUAGAUUCAAAAUGUCCGAAACAACUGAUUUUAGGAGUGAGGUCAAGGACCAUUUACCAGUGUUUAUAAACCUGGUAUGUUCUAAAGACCAUUUCAGUGAAGAUGAUGGGCUUCAUGGAUUGGAUGAUUGUCUUCAUCAAAGCAUCAAAAGUGCUUUUCAACCCUAUGGAAAUGUUAUGCCUUUGGGGAUGACCUAUAAAGAGCCCAGUGUUAUACUGGUGUCCAACGAUGAUGGUCUGCACACAGCUCCCCCAAUUUAUGUCACUGACACGUAUGAAAGGACCUUUAAACUGCAGUUUCUGCUUGUGUGGAAGAAGAAAGUGAAAGGAACACACAUGGUUGUGUGCUGUAACAUGGAAUAUGGAUGGGUCCUGUAUGAUAAUCACCCUGGCGUACCUCCUGAAGACUUCAGCUACGACUACGAAGAUUUUAGGAAUGAUUACCCUGUCUACCUUGCUUGUUAUGUCAACGUCACACAACCUGGUCACAGCAAUGUGAAUGUUCCAGUUGCUGAAGAGGGAUUUGAAUCGUCAGUAUGGGACUGGCAGCCGGUAUAA